GUCGGAGCACCCCCAACUCCAGUUCAGACAUUUCUCGCAGGUCCCGACGGUGGUUGUGAUCCCCUCGACUCCAGCUUCUCCAGUAUCGAUGGAAUUCUACACCAACAGGUUCAAACAUUAAGCCGGUAGCACAGGAAUCGAUUCUUGCACUAAUCGAGAUACCAUCUAGUAAUGAUUUCCAAUAUUUAGAUAGUUUGAAUUAUCAUAAAAAAAUAUUUCAGAACCCAUGCACAUGGUUACUG
rnacentral:lncRNA from 1 species